UGGAUAGAAGCCCGCUGGAUUGGGCGUUUAGCUGUUAAUUAAAUAGUCGCGAGAUCGAAGCUCGUUUAUCCAG
rnacentral:tRNA from 1 species